rnacentral:ncRNA from 1 species
GUUCUGUGUGACUGACGGAUAAGUGGAGUUUACCACGGGGAGCACAGAAUAGAAAAUUCCCUAGAAUUUAUAGCCGACCGUCUGGGU